rnacentral:rRNA from 1 species
AUGCGGUAUGACGGUACCCUUUCGAAUAAGAGGUUGCUAACUCUGUGCCAGCAGCAGCGGUAAUACAGAGACCUCGAGCGUUAUCCGGAUUUACUGGGCGUAAAGCGUCUGUAGGGGGUUUGUUAAGUUCCAAGUAAAAUCUUAAGGCUCAACUUUAAGUUCGCUUGGAAAACUAAUAAACUGGAGUCCAGCAGAGGUGCAUGGAACUUGCGGUGUAGGAGUGAAAUCCGUUGAUAUCGCAAGGAACACCAAAGGCGAAGGCAUUGCACUGGGCUGGUACUGACCCUGAGAGACGAAAGCGUGGGGAGCAAAACGGAUUAGAUACCCGUGUAGUCCACGCCGUAAACGAUGGAUACUAGAUGUUCGGGGAUUCGACCCCCUGGGUGUCACAGCUAACGCGUUAAGUAUCCCGCCUGGGAAGUACGGCCGCAAGGCUAAAACUCAAAGGAAUAGACGGGGAUCCGCACAAGCGGUGGAGCGUCUGGUUUAAUUUGAUAGUAAGCAAUGGACCUCACCAAGGUUUGACAUCCUAUGACAACCCUGGAAACAGGGCUUCCUUCGGGCAUAGUGACAGGUGCUGCAUGGUCGUCGUCAGUUCGUGCCGUGAGGUGUUCCGUUAAGUCGGGAAACGAACGAAACCCUCGUCGCAUGUUACAAAUUUCAUGCGAGACUGCCCGGGUCAACCGGGAGGAAGGCGGGGAUGACGUCAGAUCAGCAUGGCCCUUAUACCUUGGGCUACACAGGCGCUACAAUGGCCGAUACAAAGGGUUGCAAAACCGCGAGGUGAAGCUAAUCCCAUAAAGCCGGUCCAAGUUCGGAUUGGAGGCUGCAACUCGCCUCCAUGAAGUUGGAAUCGCUAGUAAUCGUGGAUCAGCCAUACCACGGUGAUACGUUCCCGGAUCUUGUACUCACCGCCCGUCACACCAAGAGAGUUGG